UUGGACCUGAUAUCAGGCAAGAUUACCCGCUGAACUUAAGCUUA
rnacentral:rRNA from 1 species